rnacentral:rRNA from 1 species
UUCCGGUUGAUCCUGCCGGAGGUUACUGCUAUCGAGGUUCGACUAAGCCAUGCGAGUCGAAUGUAGCAAUACAUGGCGAACUGCUCAGUAACACGUGGACAACCUGCCCUUAGGACGGGGAUAAACCCGGGAAACUGGGUAUAAUACCCGAUAGGUCUCGAUUGCUGGAAUGCAUCGAGAUUCAAAGCUCCGGCGCCUAAGGAUGGGUCUGCGGCCUAUCAGGUAGUAGUGGGUGUAGCGUACCUACUAGCCUACGACGGGUACGGGUUGUGAGAGCAAGAGCCCGGAGAUGGAUUCUGAGACACGAAUCCAGGCCCUACGGGGUGCAGCAGGCGCGAAAACUUUACAAUGCUGGCAACAGCGAUAAGGGAACCUCGAGUGCCAGGUUACAAAUCUGGCUGUCGAGAUGCCUAAAAAGCAUUUCAUAGCAAGGGCCGGGCAAGACCGGUGCCAGCCGCCGCGGUAACACCGGCGGCUCGAGUGGUAACCGUUAUUAUUGGGUCUAAAGGGUCUGUAGCCGGCCGGAUAAGUCUCUUGAGAAAUCUGGCAGCUUAACUGUCAGGCUUUCAGGAGAUACUGUCUGGCUCGAGGCCGGGAGAGGUGAGAGGUACUUCAGGGGUAGGGGUGAAAUCUUGUAAUCCUUGAAGGACCACCAGUGGCGAAGGCGUCUCACCAGAACGGACCUGACGGCAAGGGACGAAAGCUAGGGGCACGAACCGGAUUAGAUACCCGGGUAGUCCUAGCCGUAAACGAUACUCGCUAGGUGUCGGCCACGGUGCGACCGUUGUCGGUGCCGUAGGGAAGCCGUGAAGCGAGCCACCUGGGAAGUACGGCCGCAAGGCUGAAACUUAAAGGAAUUGGCGGGGGAGCACCACAAC